UACGGAGGGUGCAAGCGUUAAUCGGAAUUACUAGGCGUAAAGCGAGUGUAGGCGGGCGCUUAAGUCCGACGUUAAAUCUCCAGGCUUAACUUGGAGCUGUCGUUGGAUACUGGGCGUCUCGAGAGGGGUAGGGGCGAGUGGAAUUCCCGGUCGUAGCGGUGAAAUAGCGUAGAUAUCGGGAGGAACACCUAUGGCGAAAGCAGCUGCCUGGGCC
rnacentral:rRNA from 1 species